rnacentral:rRNA from 1 species
UACGUAGGGUGCAAGCGUUGUCCGGAAUUACUGGGCGUAAAGAGUUCGUAGGCGGUUUGUCGCGUCGUUUGUGAAAACCAGCAGCUCAACUGCUGGCUUGCAGGCGAUACGGGCAGACUUGAGUACUGCAGGGGAGACUGGAAUUCCUGGUGUAGCGGUGAAAUGCGCAGAUAUCAGGAGGAACACCCGGUGGCGAAGGCGGGUCUCUGGGCAGUAACUGACGCUG